rnacentral:misc_RNA from 1 species
AACGCACAUUGCGCCCCUCGGUAUUCCGUGGGGCAUGCCUGUUCGAGCGUCAUCUACACCCUCAAGCUCUGCUUGGUGUUGGGCGUCUGUCCCGCCUCCGCGCGUGGACUCGCCCCAAAUUCAUUGGCAGCGGUCCUUGCCUCCUCUCGCGCAGCACAUUGCUCUUCUUGAGGGGCUCCGGUUCGCGUCCAACAAGCACAUUUACCGUCUUUGACCUCGGAUCAGGUAGGGAUACCCGCUGAACUUAA